AAAGUCGUAACAAGGUUUCCGUAGGUGAACCUGCGGAAGGAUCAUCAACAAAUCUAAUACUGCCCUUUGGGCAAUAUACCAAUGUGAAUUGACUAGCUUGCUAGUUUGAUGAAUGCUUGAAAAAGCAUCAUAUUAACGAGUAUUAAAGAGUCUGUUUAAAAAAAUAUAAUCUUAUACAACUUUUAACAAUGGAUCUCUUGGCUCUU
rnacentral:misc_RNA from 1 species